GUGUGUGUUUGGGGGGGGGGGGUGUUAUGGUGGUAUUAUAAUGCUUUUGAUUACAAUUCAUUUUAAUCAAGUAUGAUCUAAACCUCAUUGUGACAGCUUAAACACCAGCAUAUUUAAGCACUUUGUUACUGACACAGAAACCUUCCCAUUAAAACUUGCUCAUCCAGUUCUCUGACUAGGAAGAGAGAGAAACACAGACACACACCUACACACACAAAGGUAGAGAUCAGGUGGUCAGGUGACACAGCAGCUUGCAAGGGUGUAGGUGAAGGUGGAACUGCUAAAAAAUUUCCUCCUCAGAAAGAGCGAGCCUGUGUGAAAGGUCAUCAUGUCAGCUGAGAAUGAAGGCCUGGCCCAUUGUAAGUUCAUCCUGGUGUUUGCCAUCACUAUGGACCUCCUUGGGAUUACUAUAGUCCUGAUUGGAGUCUUUGUCCCACUAGAGGUUAAAGGUCAGGACUUCGGUGAUCUGCUGGUCUACUCGGGCGUGCUGUUGGUCCUGUUGUCCAUGGUCGGAUGGGUUAUAUGGUACAGUGGCAACAUCGAAGGCUUGCACUUAGCGAAGGACCUUGGCUAUAAACGUAGUACUGUGGAUCGCCUGGCUCGUUCACUCAGUCGCCGCAUACACAGAAGCUUUCACAUAACAUAGGCUGACCUUUCAAGACCUGAGACUUACUGUUACUGGAGUGUCAGAUUACCUUCAGUGCUCAAAUAUCCAAGAAUAGUACAGGUAUAUCGGUGUGGUUUAUUAGUUAUAUCUUAGUUACAACAGUUUACAGGCUACUGGCUAUAUGUGUGAAUAUUAUUUAUAUAUUUAGUCGACUGAACCAGAAACUAACAACCUGACAGCUUUGUGUUUAUUCAGAACUCUAUACAUAUUUCUCUAAAAUAUGAAUUUGAUCUAAUCAUAUCUAAUACUAUAAUCCAAUUAUAUUUAAUAUUAUACAACACAAUUAAAAUUUGGUAUCAAAGGCUUCAUAACAAGCACACAAUAUGCUCAUCUGUUUUAUCACAUCAUGUGAAUGGACCUAAUGUAAAUAUGGGAACAGUUGUUGUUUAAUUCACUUUGUUUUCCAUCUAUGUUGUAAUGGUACAAUUUUCCUAGUCCAUGGAUUAGUAAUUCAGUAAAUUAUGCCCAUAAUUAUGAGACAGCACUUCUCAUGUGUGUACUGCCAGGACUAUCACUGCUCUUUCCCAUUUUAUUUUAUGAAAUAAAUAAAGGGCAGGUCUAAAUAAAGACUGCUUUCUAAAGUCA